rnacentral:rRNA from 1 species
CCUACGGGUGGCAGCAGUGGGGAAUAGUGCACAAUGGGGGAAACCCUGAUGCAGCGACGCCGCGUGAGUGAAGAAGGAGUUCGGGAUGUAAAGCUCUAUCAGCAGGGAAGAAAAUGACGGUACCUGAGGAAGAAGCCCCGGCUAACGACGUGCCAGCAGCCGCGGUAAUACGUAGGGGGCAAGCGUUAUCCGGAUUUACUGGGUGUACAGGGAGCGUAGACGGCAGCGCAAGUCUGAAGUGAAAUGCCGGGGCUUACCCCCGGAACUGCUUUGGAAACUGUGCAGCUAGAGUGCAGGUGCGGUAAGUGGAUUUCCUAGUGUAGCGGUGAACUGCGUCGAUCUUAGGAGGAACCCCAGUGGCGACGGCGGCUUACUGGACUGUAACUGACGUUGAGGCUC